rnacentral:rRNA from 1 species
CAGCCGCCGCGGGAAUACGUAGGGUGCGAGCGUUAAUCGGAAUUACUGGGCGUAAAGCGUGCGCAGGCGGUUGUGUAAGACAGGUGUGAAAUCCCCGGGCUUAACCUGGGAACUGCGCUUGUGACUGCACAGCUAGAGUAUGGCAGAGGGGGGUGGAAUUCCACGUGUAGCAGUGAAAUGCGUAGAGAUGUGGAGGAACACCGAUGGCGAAGGCAGCCCCCUGGGCCAAUACUGACGCUCAUGCACGAAAGCGUGGGGAGCAAACAGGAUUAGAUACCCCGGUAGUCCCUGUCUCUUAUAA